ACCUUAGAUCCGUUACCCCGGCUUCCUACUCCCUGAACCACCGUCCCCCCCGCCCCGCGGUCGCCCGUGCGGCUUCCCGCGGCAACGGCAACGGCGGGCCACCGGUGGAGGGGGAGAAGGAGCGGCGACGCUCGUCGCUCCCGGCGCUGUCGGAGAUCCGGUUGGGAGAGCUUCUGUCCCCGGACCCCGCCAAUGCCGUGGCUGUGGUGCUCACGGGCGCGCUCGUAUGGGCUGGCGCCUCACUGCUGCUGCAGCUCACGCUCAUCUCCGCAGCAAUCUUCGCCGCCGCCGUCAAGUACUCGUUUGUCGCCGCGCUCCUGCUAAUCGUCCUUAUCGCCCUGCUGUGAUCGACCCGGCCAAGAAAAAAGCUGUAAGUUCGCACGAAGCAUUCCGAUUGAAGAUCACGUAGAGGGCAAAGCAGCGGAUUUCAAAUGUUUCCAUUUUUGUAUGGAGCAGUACUGCAGUAGAAAAUAUUUGCCUGCCAGUGCCAGUUCAAUAUGGCCAGCAACUCCAGCAGGGUGAGAAAGAUCAUCAUCAGGUUCUAAAGGAUUUCUCAAAGUUGCUUGAUGAUCAGGAGUUUAAUAGUAAGUAUUAUCAUCCAAGCAACGCUAGGAUCUGGUUCUAUGGUGAUGAUGACCCAAAAGAGCACACAUUCUAAGUGAAUACCUUGAUCAGUUUGAAGCCAGCCCUGCUCCUAAAUGUUCGGCAGUGGUGUGCAUGAAGGAUUUGAGCUCCCCGUGCUCUACUCGCCAGGCCAGUCGACAUCCCAGUCUUGCGCUACAGAUCGGUGUGUACGUGCCUGACAGUGGCUAGCGCCUCUAUUCUUAAUUACUCUGUUUUUCCUUUUCUGAUCGAACGUUUAGAUUUAGAUGAAUAUGGUUUUCACGUCUUCAAAAUACACAUUACGAGAUUUGGUGUGGGCGGUCUAUAGAGUACAGAGAGAUGUGAAACAUGGGCAUCCUAAACACCUUUCGAAAGAAUUGCAUGUUGAAAAAUCUUGCCAAACUUCAGUGUUAUAACCUCAUAGGGUAUAGUAUAUACUUGUAAGGAGGAAAGGCUUGACAAAUUGAGGUUAAAUUUAGACAUAAUGAAAUGUGGCUUAACUAUAUUAACAAUUUAGAAAUCACGUAUCGAAUUUUGUGCUUUAGUGUGCUACACGAUUUUAAAUUUGUUUAUGGAUGAAAUGAACAAUCUGAUAAAUUCACACUGAUAUAGCAGAUUAUUUGAUUUAGUAUGUAGGCAUUGUGAUACUGUGCAUACUAUAGUAAUGAAUUGUGUUAUGUAAUGCUAAUACUUAACAUAACUACCUCAUAUGCCUGAUCUAUUAAUAUGUUCAUUGUAUAUGUUUGUUUUUUCUUUGCUUUGUCCACAUUCAGUUUUUUAAAAAAAUCUCAUGAAAUGAGAUAAUUAGUGUGGACAUAGGAUUGUAUUUUGUUGGUUCUUGUUAUGAUCUCCAGAUAUAUUCUUGAACCAUCUUUUCCCCCUUGUUAAUAAUUUCUAUUUAGAAUCAUUAAUCUGGGACACAUGUAACAUUAUCAAGUUACUCCUUGUGCUGAUGACUUUCUGUAUUCUGAUUUUUGCAUGCUUAAUGAUAUUGGUGUUACUCUAAUGACAACAGAAAAUGGCAUCGGAUUUCCUGGGUACUUCUAGAUUUAGGUUGAUGCGACUUGGUUUGUUUGUACAGUUUUGAUCUGGUAGGGUGUUUUUGACGAUAGAGUUGCCUGACGCCAAGGGUGUGAAGCAGAGCUUAAAGCCUAAAGGCCAUUUCAACUUGUCUAGCUCAGAUGACUCGCCUUGCGAGUUUGAUCUUGAGUUGUUUGAUGUUGUCGAUUUAAUACAUGUUGAAUUAGCGUUUCAGAUUUUGAUUGUAUUGGUCUUCCUAUUUGCAGGAGAGCAAAGCAGUUGUUGUCCCAAGAACCAUAUGCUACCAGAACAAGAAAGAUGAGAGCGGUUGGUGGCCAAGGCUCAUGAAAAAGGACUUGUGUUCUUGAAGGUUGACUGGAUAAAUGGUAGGAUGAGGAUGGCGAAGAUGUUGGAUGUUAGUAUUUCACUUUUGGUUGAUUAUAUUUUUUCUUAUGCGCCUGACAAAUCUAGAUUUGCAACCAGACAUGCUUUAUUCUUGUUCCUGUUUUGUUUUCCUUAUGUAUUAAUUCCUUAACUUGUAAUGCACACGAUGUUUUCCUUAUGUAUUAAUUCCUUAACUUGUAAUGCACAUGAUGUUUUCUUUAUGCAUUAAUUCC